rnacentral:rRNA from 1 species
GACGAACGCUGGCGGCGUGCUUAACACAUGCAAGUCGAACGGAAAGGCCCUGCUUUUGUGGGGUGCUCGAGUGGCGAACGGGUGAGUAACACGUGAGUAACCUGCCCUUGACUUUGGGAUAACUUCAGGAAACUGGGGCUAAUACCGGAUAGGAGCUCCUGCUGCAUGGUGGGGGUUGGAAAGUUUCGGCGGUUGGGGAUGGACUCGCGGCUUAUCAGCUUGUUGGUGGGGUAGUGGCUUACCAAGGCUUUGACGGGUAGCCGGCCUGAGAGGGUGACCGGCCACAUUGGGACUGAGAUACGGCCCAGACUCCUACGGGAGGCAGCAGUGGGGAAUAUUGCACAAUGGGCGGAAGCCUGAUGCAGCAACGCCGCGUGCGGGAUGACGGCCUUCGGGUUGUAAACCGCUUUCGCCUGUGACGAAGCGUGAGUGCCGGUAAUGGGUAAAGAAGCACCGGCUAACUACGUGCCAGCAGCCGCGGUGAUACGUAGGGUGCGAGCGUUGUCCGGAUUUAUUGGGCGUAAAGGGCUCGUAGGUGGUUGAUCGCGUCGGAAGUGUAAUCUUGGGGCUUAACCCUGAGCGUGCCUUCGAUACGGGUUGACUUGAGGAAGGUAGGGGAGAAUGGAAUUCCUGGUGGAGCGGUGGAAUGCGCAGAUAUCAGGAGGAACACCAGUGGCGAAGGCGGUUCUCUGGGCCUUUCCUGACGCUGAGGAGCGAAAGCGUGGGGAGCGAACAGGCUUAGAUACCCUGGUAGUCCACGCUGUAAACGGUGGGUACUAGGUGUGGGGUCCAUUCCACGGGUUCCGUGCCGUAGCUAGCGCUUUAAGUACCCCGCCUGGGGAGUACGGCCGCAAGGCUAAAACUCAAAGGAAUUGACGGGGCCCCGCACAAGCGGCGGAGCAUGCGGAUUAAUUCGAUGCAACGCGUAGAACCUUACCUGGGUUUGACAUGGAUCGGGAGUGCUCAGAGAUGGGUGUGCCUCUUUUGGGGUCGGUUCACAGGUGGUGCAUGGCUGUCGUCAGCUCGUGUCGUGAGAUGUUGGGUUAAGUCCCGCAACGAGCGCAACCCUUGUUCACUGUUGCCAGCACGUUAUGGUGGGGACUCAGUGGAGACCGCCGGGGUCAACUCGGAGGAAGGUGGGGAUGACGUCAAGUCAUCAUGCCCCUUAUGUCCAGGGCUUCACGCAUGCUACAAUGGCUGGUACAGAGAGUGGCGAGCCUGUGAGGGUGAGCGAAUCUCGGAAAGCCGGUCUCAGUUCGGAUUGGGGUCUGCAACUCGACCUCAUGAAGUCGGAGUCGCUAGUAAUCGCAGAUCAGCAACGCUGCGGUGAAUACGUUCCCGGG